GGGUGGGGUGAGGGGUAGGGAUGGGAUGAGAGAGGCUGCUUUCCUGGGCCUACAAUUGGGGUUCCCUUCUCCUUGCCAUCCCCAGAAACUCCAAGAGCUGACCUUCUGUCUUACUAACCCAGACGGCCCAGAAACAACAAAGUCUGACCAAAAACCGUUAAUGGUAGUCAGCUUCCUCCCUUUCACAGAGGUCUUACUACUGCCGGGGCGCAGGCGACACAUGGGGCCUGAGCUAGACCAGGUGGGAAGGUGAAAGGACCUAGUUGGGACAGAAGAGGAUACCUAGGAGCCGCCCACCGGCUAGAUGGACACAGGAAAGGCCUGAGUCAGGCUUCUCACAGUAAAUAAACUGCACGUGAAUAAUUCAGCAGUCGUGCUGGGGCCGGUUGCAUUAGCGCCGCCAACGCCGCGCGGCGCCCAAGUCCCCGCGGAGGGGAGAAGGCAACUAAGGCACUUGAAGAGGAGUGGGGUAGAAAUCCCCCGCCCAAGAGUAUCCUGGAUUCUACCCAGGUCGGGUUCAGAGAGCCUCCCGGGUCCCAAUCCCCUCGGACCCCAUGGGUCAGGGGGCCGCCUGCGGGGCACUGCUCCCUCAGCUAAGCCCCUCCGGUGUCCCAAGACCCCGGGCAAGGGAAGACAGGCGGCGAGACGCAGCCAGAGUAAGCGAUGAGGACGUCUGACCUGUGGAAAACCCAGCAUCUGCAGUGCCCUGUCGCACAGGGAACGUGGGCGGCGUGGCUCCAAGCAAAGUGAAGACGCCAGGCUCGAAUCUGUGCUCAGAGCCGGGAUCCCUCCCGGCUGCUUCGUCCUGGCCGGGAUUUGCCUUGCCCUGAAGUGAGGCUCCAGGGAAGCUGCAGGGCCCUCCGCCCUCUCUGAACUCCCACGUAUUUGGGCCUCUCCCCGCCUUUCUUGGGCCGGUGGAUGCAGUUCCUGCAGCACCAAACUCCCCUGUCUCCCCGCCGCCCCCUAGGUACAGUUCGUAACACCCGAAGCCUUAUUUCGUUUGAGCGAAACCCGGCCCCUUUGGCUCUUCCCACUUCUCACAAGUCCCUGGGUUCCCGACCCUGAGGGAAUGCAUUCAUUCCAUCUCACACCCACCAAUGCUCAAUCCCUCCAGUUCCUCCCCAGCCCCUUCAUUUCCAUUAAUUAGGUCGAGUCCCUUCCUUAGCCGCCCCCUCCUGUCACCACGCAGCCUCCCUACACCUACGCGGCUAGCCUCGGGUCAAGACCUCCGCCCUGGUGCAUGAUGCACCAGGCCUCAAAAGGGAUCUUCACGGGUAUUCCGCAUAGCCAGAUCCCAAUUCUCCAGGGAGGCCACCAGCCCUCCCCUAUCUUCUUCCUCCUCCUCCUUCUCCUUUCCUCUUCCCUCCGCUUCUACGUAUUUCUUUCAAUUCGUUUCUUUUCUUUUGGUGAGGUGCCACCCGCACAGCCCUGUCCCCUAGGGAGGCCUGGACUAACUUUGCGGUCCUCGUGGCCUUAGCCCGGACUGUGAGUGUCAAGCAGCUUCCGGGAGGCAGCUCGGGUGUCUUCGCAGAGAUAGGUGAGGUGCGCUGGCGAUUCCCUAGCCUCAGAUUGCUCUGCCACCGGCCAGCUGUGUGAUCUUGGCCGAUGGGGUGCCAGGCGUUAGAAAUCUUCCCCCCAAUCCUCACCAUGUCUCCAUUUUGCCAAAGAAGAAACAGGUUAAGGUCGCGAUGCGCUGGCCAGCAUCACAGGUAAACAAUUUUGGCAGUGCUCGGAGAAGGAUGGAAGUAAGACCCAAAGAGGAACUUUCCACAUGUUAUGGGAGAGCCCCUGGAGCCAGGAGGCGAGGGCAGCCUUCCCCAGGCCAAGGGAGCAGCCAUCGCUCUUGGAUCUGUUUUUCCUCAAGCGUCUGUCCUGUGGGGCCUAGUCCCCAGCCGCAGUCCUGGACCUAAUGGGAGAAGGGGCUGGGGGAAGAGGACGCCUGGGACAUCCCCAGCCCGGGACCCAGAUCGGGUCCUCCUAGCUGCAGGGCAGCAGAGUGGAAGCCAGGGCCUGGGACCCUCUGGUUGGGCAAGGAGGGACUGGAGUCCGGCUCCCGGCAACCCCGUCCCCAGUCCCAGCGGAAGGGUCGCCCAUGGCGGCCCAGACAGGCCACGGGUCCCUCUCCACAAGUCCCAUUACGUUGUAUUUAUGUUUCACUUUAUUGUUUUUUAUCCUCCUCCCUUAUUACUGUCUCACUCUGGGGGAGGCAAAGGAUAUAAUAUAUUCAUCUUUAUUAUACCAAAUCUGUGUGAAGCAUUUAAUAAAACGCUGUUUCCACACAGCCAGGGA